rnacentral:lncRNA from 1 species
GGGAGGAAGGGGAUCCCCAGCCUGUCCUGGACCCCCUGUUCUGCUGUGGUACUCUGGUAGGAGGCAGCAGGUGGUCACGAUGCCUCUGCCCCUAGCUGCUCAGUAGCAAUGUGGUCAAUGACCUGAUGCUUCUGGAGUCCUUGCUGGACAACCUGGCAGCUCGACAGAAGGACUCAAGUACCAGUGUGCGGAGACUGGUGCUGCGUGGCCUGGCCAACGUGGCCUCUGGCUCCCCGGACAAGGUGGGUCCAGCAGGCCGUGGCUAGGGUGUGCAGAUCCAGGUGGAAGUGGACAAGGGUGGUGGCUGUGUGCAGCUGCUUGGGGCUGGGGUACAGUGCCUGCAGGGGCUAGGGACAGAGCAAAGGCUGAAUGCAGGGUUUCCAGGUGCGGGCCCACGGCCCCCAGCUCCUGACAGCCAUGAUCAGCGGGCUGGACGACGGGGAUGACCCACACGGCCUGGUGGCCCUGGAGGCCAUGGUGGGCCUGGCUCGACUGCUGGACCUGGUGGCACCCUGGGACCUGCGCCUGGUGCUGCUGCACACAGUGAUCCGCAUCCGGCCCUUCUUCGACAGUGUAAGCCAGCCACGGUGGGGUUGGGUACUGAAGCCAGUGUUCAUGGCCCCCGGCCAGUCCCUGCCACUUCCCCAUGGGUCCCCCGAGCCAUACUUCCACCCGUCACUUAGGCCCCAACAGGUACUGUCUCCCCCAAGCCCCUAACAAGGAGUUUUUCUGUGGCAACCUGAGUUCUCUUCCCAAGCCCACCCACUACAUGGGACAGGAAGGAUGGCACCUGACAGGGGCCCAUAGCUACAGGCUGCAGGAGGGCCAGGGGGAGGAGCACUGUAAGGUGACAGGGCAACACCUCUGCCAGGAGAAGGUGGAGUUCCGAGAAGCAUCCAUCCGCCUCUUUGGGCACCUCAACAAGGCCUGCCAUGGGGACUGUGAAGAAGUCUUCCUGGAGCAGGUUGUGGGCGGGCUGGUGCCUCUGCUGCUACACCUGCAGGACCCUCAAGCCCCUGUGGCCAAUGUGAGUAGCCGAUGGGGGAGGGGUGGGGCCUGGGCGGGGCGCGGGGCGCGGGGCUCAGCGUGGUACCCUGUUAGGCCUGCAGGUUUGCCCUGUGCAUGUGUGUCCCCAACCUGGAGUGCGAGGAGCUGGCAGCCACCUUCCACAAGCACCUGCAGGAGGGACGCAGCCUGCACUUCGGGGAGUUCCUCAACUCAACCUGCAAGCACCUGGUGAGAUGGGCACACG